GAUGAACGCUGGCGGCGUGCCUAAUACAUGCAAGUCGAGCGAACAGACGAGGAGCUGCUCCUCUGACGUUAGCGGCGGACGGGUGAGUAACACGUGGAUAACCUACCUAUAAGACUGGGAUAACUUCGGGAAACCGGAGCUAAUACCGGAUAAUAUAUUGAACCGCAUGGUUCAAUAGUGAAAUACGGUUUUGCUGUCACUUAUAGAUGGAUCCGCGCCGCAUUAGCUAGUUGGUAAGGUAACGGCUUACCAAGGCAACGAUGCGUAGCCGACCUGAGAGGGGGAUCGGCCACACUGGAACUGAGACACGGUCCAGACUCCUACGGGAGGCAGCAGUAGGGAAUCUUCCGCAAUGGGCGAAAGCCUGACGGAGCAACGCCGCGUGAGUGAUGAAGGUCUUCGGAUCGUAAAACUCUGUUAUUAGGGAAGAACAAAUGUGUAAGUAACUAUGCACGUCUUGACGGUACCUAAUCAGAAAGCCACGGCUAACUACGUG
rnacentral:rRNA from 1 species